AACCUUCGCAAUGUGCGAAAGCACGACGAGGUUAUUCCGAGUGAUUUCCGCUGAGGAAAUCUUUUCUCAGAUCUAAAAAGUCUGGGGAAUAAGGGGAGGGCAAGUCUGGUGUCAGCCGCCGCGGUAAUACCAGCUCCCCGAGUGGUCAGGGCGUUUAUUGGGCCUAAAGCAUCCGUAGCCGGCUUAGUAGGUCUUCUGUUAAAUCCAACGGCUCAACCGUUGGUCUGCAGGAGAUACCGCUGGGCUAGGAGGCGGGAGAGGCGGACGGUACUCCGAGGGUAGGGGUAAAAUCCUUUGAUCCCCGGAAGACCACCUUCCCACCAUUCGGUCCACCAGAACGCGCUCGACGGUGAGGGAUGAAAGCUGGGGGAGCGAACCGGAUUAGAUACCCGGGUAGUCCCAGCCGUAAACGAUGCGAGCUAGGUGACACUACGCCUUCGGGGCGUAGUGGUGCCGCAGGGAAGCCGUUAAGCUCGCCGCCUGGGGAGUACGGACGCAAGUCUGAAACUUAA
rnacentral:rRNA from 1 species